rnacentral:rRNA from 1 species
UUUAAAGAGAGUUUGAUCCUGGCUCAGGACGAACGCUGGCGGCGUGCCUAAUACAUGCAAGUCGAACGAAUGGAGGAAGAGCUUGCUCUUCCAAAGUUAGUGGCGGACGGGUGAGUAACACGUGGGCAACCUGCCUGUAAGUUGGGGAUAACUCCGGGAAACCGGGGCUAAUACCGAAUGAUAAAGUGUGGCGCAUGCCA